ACUAACUAAAGAUCAAAACGGAUUUAUACAGACGAACGUGUAUCAGAAACCGACAGCCACUAAUACUUACUUCCAUGCUACAUCUGCCCAUCCUUAACAUGUAUUGAAAGCAGUACCAGUUGGUGAAUAUUUGAGAACUCGGAGAAUAUGUUCAUCUGAUGAAAAGUUUGAGGAACAGGCGAAGGUAUUACAGAAAAGAUUUAAAGAAAGAGGAUACAGUCAGCGUUGUCUGAAAAGAGCAUACAAGCGAGCCAAAGAAACCCCAAGAAAUCAAUUGUUACAUAGGAAGAAUGAGAAAGUUCCAGAUGACACAAUAAGAUCCCAUACUUAAACACUACUUACCACCCAGAUUACAGAUGACACCAAGAAGAUCAAGGAAUUUGAAAGACAUUCUUGUUAAAAAAUCAGUAUUGGACUAUAUGGAACAUUUUUCUGUUUAAUGGCGGUUGAAUGGAUGGUGUAAAAUCUGAAGAUCAUUGAAGAAGAGAAUGGGACUGUCUUUUAUGUAUUUUUCAGCUCAAGUCAUAUACGGGGACAUUUAUCAUCGUUGCUUUGAAUAUAUACAAGAACAAGUACAUUGUGUACAAGAGAAAACUGUAGUACAAAAAGUCAGAAAGAAAUACUUUGAACAUACAAUUAAAAGAAAAGAGUCAAAGGCAGCAGGACAAAGUUAA